rnacentral:rRNA from 1 species
CUGCAACUCGCCUGCAUGAAGCUGGAAUUGCUAGUAAUCGCGGAUCAGCAUGCCGCGGUGAAUACGUUCCCGGGCCUUGUACACACCGCCCGUCACACCAUGGGAGCCGGUAAUACCCGAAGUCAGUAGUCCAACCACGUGAGGACGCUGCCGAAGGUAGGAUUGGCGACUGGGGUGAAGUCGUAACAAGGUAAC